rnacentral:lncRNA from 1 species
AUCACUUGUAGGUCCAACAAGCGGCGGCCCAACCCUGCCCCUUGCAGAGCUGCCGGUGCUUGAGGAAGCAGGGCCGGGCGCGGAAGCGGCGGCCGCAGUCGGCGCAGGCGUGCCGGGCGCCGCCGUGGGUCUUCAUGUGCUCCGUCAGGUGGUGCUUGAGCUUGAAGCGCUUGUCACACACGGCACAACCGAAAGGUCUCAAGCUCAACGUCAACGUGAUGUGCCGGUCGCGCUUGGGCUUGACGGCGAAGCGUUUGCCGCACAGGCAACCGAACCGUUUGCCGUCUGCCGCCGCCGGCACCUUCACGGGACCGUGAAGAGCUUGGCCGGCUGCCGGAGCAGCCAGCAGCUCGUUGCCGUGAAGGUCCACGGGCUUCCAGGCCGCCGCCGCCGUGGUGGUGGCACUUGUCACCGGCGCCAGGACGUAGCCGGGUUCGGCGCCCGCCGCGGCGGCGGGUUCCUCGGCUCGGAGGAACCCGCCGGCGUCGCCCACCUCUUGCUUGACGUAGAUUUUGGGCGGUUCCACCACGCCGCCGCCACCUUCCUCUACGUCGGCGCGGGGCGGCGGCCGCUCCUCCUCCUCCUCCUCGUCCUCCUCGUCCUCCUCCRCCGGCGCCACGUGGAUCUGGAGAACUUCCUCGGCGGCGGCGGUGGCGGCGGUGGCCACCGCGGUUUCGCCGCGGGCCGCCCAGCGCCGCGGGCCUCCCUCCAGCUCCUUGAGGAUCUCGGAGCAACGGUCCACCACUUGCCACAUCUGCAAGCCGCUGGCCACCAGCARGUGGCUGGGCAGGGCCUCCAGGAGCAAGGUGAGGCGGCCCGAGUAGAUGAGCUGCAGCAGGUUGCCGAAGGCCUCCGCCUCGAUGACGCCGGGCAGCACCAGGCAGCUGGCGUCGCGCAGCAGAAGCUUGUCGUGGAAGUAGGGAGACGAGGCGGCCAGGACGCUCUUGUGAGCCGGGAAGAUCCGGCCGCCCACGUGCACCGCCACGUCGCAGAACUGUCCCGCCAACCGUUGCCGGUUGAGGGCCUCCAACAACACCGCCGCGUACUGCGGGAAUUCCAGCUGCACGCUACGUCCCGCCGUCUCCAUGCCUGCCCGGGGGGGACGGGAUGGGGACACGCGUGGGGACGUGGCGUCGGGGCGGAAGGAGACCGCCGGCAUGUCGCCAUGGGUCCGGGGACGUCACCGUGGCCCCAGGAACGCUGCAACGGUCCCAGGAACACCACCACAACCCCAGGAACACCACCACGACCCCAGGGACACCACCACAACCCCAGGGACACCACUGUGACCCCAAGGACACCACCACGACCCCAGGGACACCACCACAACCCCAGGGACACCAUCGUGGCCCCAAGGACACCACCACGACCCCAAGGACACCACCAUGACCCCAGGGACACCAUGACAGUCCCAGGGACACCGCAAUGGCCCCAGGGACACCACCAUCGUCCCAAGGACACCA